rnacentral:rRNA from 1 species
AACGACUCUCGGCAACGGAUAUCUGGGCUCUCGCAUCGAUGAAGAACGUAGCGAAAUGCGAUACUUGGUGUGAAUUGCAGAAUCCCGUGAACCAUCGAGUCUUUGAACGCAAGUUGCGCCCGAAGCCUUCUGGCCGAGGGCACGUCUGCCUGGGCGUCACGCA